rfam:Rheinheimera sp. SA_1 Contig_12, whole genome shotgun sequence.
CAAUAUGGCCGCCAUUUGAGUAUCCUUACGGGCUUUUCAAAUCGGCACCCUUUUAAUCUUUUAUAGGAGAACGUUAGUGGCCCGUAUCGCUGGCAUUAACAUCCCCGAU